GCUACUGGCCUCCGUAAGGAGACCUUUUUUUCUAGAAUACGCAGGAGAGCUGCACAUCUUUGUAUUAAUAGAAGAAAAGAAAGGGGGGAGAGAACCCCAAUACAGCACACACACCACUAGAGACUAACUACGGAUCACCGACUAAAACAUGGAGGAAACACGACCCACACCGCUGUUUUAAGCCAGCAACUCAUCGACUUGGAGGAAGGACAAGGCCUUGGCACCAGUCAUGGACCAGAGCACCGCCUCUUCCCUAACCAUCCUAAGGGCCGUGACCAAGCUGGGAUUUUUGUAUUGGUCUUUUAAGACCACCCCUUUUUUCUGCUUAAUAUAUAAUGGGGCGCAGUUCUCCUGCACGUUCGAGAAAAAAAGAACGGUGUUGGUUUUCUAUCCCCUAAGGGCUGGUUUGGUGACAAGGGAAUUGGAAGGGAUCCAUGGGGGAGGGGGGAUUUGAAUAGCGAGGGAUUUCCCCUAAGGGCUACUUUGGGAACCUCAAAUCCCUUUCGGGAUUGGAGGGGAUUGAGGUUGAAAUGAACUAAUUUCCUCUCCAAUCCCCUUCAAUCCCGAAGGGAUUUGAGUUUCCAAACUAGCCCUAAGGGGUUGCUAACCUCUCAGGGAUUUGAAUUCCUUUCUUUUUUCUUAAUGAAAUGACACGCAGUUCUCCUGUGUGGUUCGAGAGAAAAAAGGAGCUGCAAGAUGGCUAUUAUGACACACAAAGGGCUUUAAGACCUUUUUUUGUUUGUUUUCUUUCUCAACCACUGAGGCAUAUGCCUUAACUUUUUUUUCUCGAUGCCUUAACUUAUUUUGCAUGGGAUAUUUGAUAUUGUACUCCUGCAUGUUAAAAAAAAUGCAACACUAAGUCCCAAGCCACAACGUGGGUCUGUUUAUAAAUAGUCGUGACAAAAAUCAUAAUUUAAACUUUUGCCAUCUUGUGCUUGAGGUUCAACCGUUCAACCAACCAUGUCAAUAGCACAAGGACAAGC
rnacentral:lncRNA from 1 species